AACGCACAUUGCGCCCUUUGGUAUUCCGAAGGGCAUGCCUGUUCGAGCGUCAUUUCAACCCUCAAGCUCUGCUUGGUAUUGGAAGCCGCCCUCGAGCCCUCCGGGGCAAAGGGGCGCUCCCGAAAAACAGCGGCGGUGUAGCCGGGCUCAUAGCGCAGUGAACCUAAAAAGUCUCGCUAGCGAUGCCCCGGGUGACUCCAGCCGGACAAUAACCCCAUUUUUCUAUGGUUGACCUCGGAUCAGGUAGGGAUACCCGCUGAACUUAA
rnacentral:misc_RNA from 1 species